UACGAAGGGGACUAGCGUUGUUCGGAAUCACUGGGCGUAAAGCGCACGUAGGCGGAUAUGUCAGUCAGGGGUGAAAUCCCGGGGCUCAACCUCGGAACUGCCUUUGAUACAGCAUGUCUUGAGUCCGAUAGAGGUGGGUGGAAUUCCUAGUGUAGAGGUGAAAUUCGUAGAUAUUAGGAAGAACACCGGUGGCGAAGGCGGCCCACUGGAUCGGUACUGACGCUGAGGCACGAAAGCGUGGGGAGCAAACAGG
rnacentral:rRNA from 1 species